rnacentral:rRNA from 1 species
GAUGAACGCUGGCGGCGUGCCUAAUACAUGCAAGUCGAGCGAACAGACGAGGAGCUUGCUCCUCUGACGUUAGCGGCGGACGGGUGAGUAACACGUGGAUCACCUACCUAUAAGACGGGGAUAACUUCGGGAAACCGGCGCUAAUACCGGAUAAUAUCUUGAUCCGCAUGGUUCAAUAGUGAAAGACGGCUUUGGUGUAUGUUCUAGAUGGAUCCCGGCCGCAUUAGCUAGUUGGUAAGGUAACGGCCUACCAAGGGGACGAUGCGUAGACGAACUGAGGGAGUGAUCGGCCACACUGGAGGUGAGACGCGGUCCAGACGCCUACGGGAGGCAGCAGUAGGGAAUGGGACGCAAUGGGCGAGAGCAUGGCGGAGCAGGCGCGAGUGAGUGAUGAAGGUGUCGGGAUCGUAAAGCUGUGUUAUUAGGGAAGAACAGAUGUGGAAGUAAACGAAGAGGGAGUGACGGUAACGGGUAAGAAAGCAACGGCUAACUACGUG